rnacentral:lncRNA from 1 species
AUUUUGACAAGGUUGCUAUUGGAAACACUUUUUAAAUAUCUCAUGUGUCACAUCACAAUCAGCAUCAUAAUCUGAUCAGGUGGAUUAAUUUCAGAAGGCAGCAGAGGGCAUUGCUUACAGGGGUCACAGACAUUCAGAUCAUGGCAGAACUGUCACAGAUGUUACUUUGUGAAAACACAAAGAAUAAUGUGUUUGGAGAGAUCAGUCUUCAAUUAGCUAUAUUUUCUAGGAGCCUACCUUUACUUAGCCUCACAACAUGGGCCUUAGCUUUAGCACUUAAUCUGCACAAAUACCUGGCUUAAGUGUUAUGACUGACUGGCUAUUCAACCAAACCAUACAAAUGACCAAUUCGGUAAGAAAGCAUGAACUUCAGUGUUGAACCAAAUCAACCAACCUCCUCAAUCCAAAUGGAGAGGAUAACAAAGGAAGCUGAGGAAGUCUGUUCUGGAGGCACCAUGACAAAGCACCAGACAGAAAGCAGUCACGUGUGGGGAGAUGAGCAGAGACACCACUUCUCAAGCACCUGAUUAUUCUUUCUCAGUAUUUAGAAGCAAAAAUUAUCCUUAAGAAAAACAACCGCAAACGCAACACAGGCUACACAGAUGAGAAAAUGGGAUUUCAAGAGAGAAGGCUGAAAAGGAAGGUGACUGGAAUAUUAAGAACUGUGAGAUAUUCUGAGGAAACUCUAAUUUGUAAAUUGGUAGAAAUGCCAGUAAUUUGUUGGGAAUUGAAGACCCUCUGUAUUCAAGAGCGAAGCUUGGCAGCUGUGCACUGUUGUUUUAUAAAUCAAUAUUAC